rnacentral:telomerase_RNA from 1 species
UUGGGAUACUGAUGACUGCCAGCGGUCUACACGAAUUUGAUAGGUGAUUUGCGAGGAUUGGCAGUCUGCGAGCAUGACGAUGUGGAUAAUCAGCUGCCGUCGUGUGUCUCAGACCAUCGCACCAUAUCGCAUAGCUGGGACACUCAGGGUUCUUCACUAUGCGGUGUUCACGCCACCCCGCCACCCCUCGUCAACAAAUGGAGACGUCCAGAAGAACUACAGGGUGCUGUUGGAGUAGCAGCGUCCUUCCGUUGCCAGCUAGAAUGCGAAGUGAGCUUCAGACGGAGCAAGUGCUCAUACAUUGCUUCUUCGCCAAUUCCAGCCCGUUGGCAAACCGGACGUCUCCAGCCAUGUGUUCUGACCACUAUGGCCGAUCUACAGGUUGUCGUUUCUUCAUGAGCUUGUUUUCCGUUCCUGGGACUGGCUGGUCAGAAUACGAAUACCGGAAAAAAAGCUUUUUCUUUGGUCUGCGACGUCAGCAUGCUGUCGGUCCCACUAACCACCACGGUCUUUCACUGCACCAUCGCUUCAAGGACCGUCUCUGCACGGAUCAAUACCCGCGGGUAUGUCGAGAAGUCACGGUACAUUGAGAAGUACGGCUGUGGUGGCUAUGUGCGGGCCUCCCCGCGAAUUGCCCUUCUUUUCCGUCGGUAGGCGUUGGCAAAGAUCGUCGUAUCCUGCUAUUUCCUGUGAGUACCGCUUCUUGCCGAGAUUUCGAUUACUAACAUUUUUUUUUUCAUGCAUUUUAAUAUGUUGGGGUGUAUAUGUAGAUUAAAAUAAUCUCGAGGAAAAUAGAUAUUUAGUCAUUUUUUCUUCUGUCUCCA